rnacentral:rRNA from 1 species
UAAGACGAAGGGGGCUAGCGUUGUUCGGAAUUACUGGGCGUAAAGCGAGUGUAGGUGGUUGUCCAAGUUGGAUGUGAAAGCCUUGAGCUCAACUCAAGAAAUGCAUUCAGGACUGGGCGGCUAGAGGACCGGAGAGGAUAGUGGAAUUCCCAGUGUAGUGGUGAAAUACGUAGAGAUUGGGAAGAACACCAGUGGCGAAGGCGGCUAUCUGGACGGUUUCUGACACUAAGACUCGAAAGCGUGGGGAGCAAACAGGAUUAGAUACCCUGGUAGUCCACGCCGUAAACGAUGGGUGCUAGGUGUGGGCGGUGUCGACUCCGUCCGUGCCGAAGCUAACGCAUUAAGCACCCCGCCUGGGGAGUACGGCCGCAAGGCUA